ensembl:snoRNA
UUGCACAGAGAACACCCAAGUGUGCUUUAUAGUUCCCUUGGUCCUGACUCUGCUAGAGUAAUGUAUGUCUGUUUCCUCUGCAUUAAAAGUACUGUAUCCUUUUAAAUGUAUUAAAAAUAUCUAGACAUCA